rnacentral:rRNA from 1 species
AAUUUUGGACAAUGGGGGAAACCCUGAUCCAGCCAUCCCGCGUGUAUGAUGAAGGCCUUCGGGUUGUAAAGUACUUUUGGCAGAGAAGAAAAGGUAUCUCCUAAUACGAGAUACUGCUGACGGUAUCUGCAGAAUAAGCACCGGCUAACUACGUGCCAGCAGCCGCGGUAAUACGUAGGGUGCAAGCGUUAAUCGGAAUUACUGGGCGGAAAGCAUGUGUAGGCGGUUCGGAAAGAAAGAUAGAGAAGCCAAGGGCUCAACCUUGGAACGGAAUUUUUAACUGACGAGCUAGAGUAUGUCAGAGGGGGGUAGAAUUCAACGUGUAGCAGUGAAAUGCGUAGAUAUGUGGAGGAAUGCCGAUGGCGAAGGCAGCCCCCUGGGAUAAUACUGACGCUCAGACACGAAAGCGUGGGGAGCAAACA